rnacentral:rRNA from 1 species
AGUGAACGCUGGCGAUAGGCCUAACACAUGCAAGUCGAACGGCAGCACAGUAAGAGCUUGCUCUUACGGGUGGCGAGUGGCGGACGGGUGAGGAAUACAUCGGAAUCUACUUUUGCGUGGGGGAUAACGUAGGGAAACUUACGCUAAUACCGCAUACGACCUACGGGUGAAAGCAGGGGAUCUUCGGACCUUGCGCGAUUGAAUGAGCCGAUGUCGGAUUAGCUAGUUGGCGGGGUAAAGGCCCACCAAGGCGACGAUCCGUAGCUGGUCUGAGAGGAUGAUCAGCCACACUGGAACUGAGACACGGUCCAGACUCCUACGGGAGGCAGCAGUGGGGAAUAUUGGACAAUGGGCGCAAGCCUGAUCCAGCCAUACCGCGUGGGUGAAGAAGGCCUUCGGGUUGUAAAGCCCUUUUGUUGGGAAAGAAAAGCAGCAGGUUAAUACCCCGCUGUUCUGACGGUACCCAAAGAAUAAGCACCGGCUAACUUCGUG